AGCUUCACUUUGGAAGCACAUAUACAGAAAGUGGAAUGAUACAAAGAAGAUUAGCAUGGCGCCUGCUCAAGGAUGAUGUGAAAAUUCAUGAGGCAGUCCAUACUUUA
rnacentral:snRNA from 1 species